rnacentral:rRNA from 1 species
AACGAACGCUGGCGGCAUGCCUAAUACAUGCAAGUCGAACGAGAUCUUCGGAUCUAGUGGCGCACGGGUGCGUAACGCGUGGGAAUCUGCCCUUGGGUUCGGAAUAACUUCGGGAAACUGAAGCUAAUACCGGAUGAUGACGUAAGUCCAAAGAUUUAUCGCCCAAGGAUGAGCCCGCGUAGGAUUAGGUAGUUGGUGAGGUAAAGGCUCACCAAGCCUACGAUCCUUAGCUGGUCUGAGAGGAUGAUCAGCCACACUGGGACUGAGACACGGCCCAGACUCCUACGGGAGGCAGCAGUAGGGAAUAUUGGACAAUGGGGGCAACCCUGAUCCAGCAAUGCCGCGUGAGCGAUGAAGGCCUUAGGGUUGUAAAGCUCUUUUACCCGGGAUGAUAAUGACAGUACCGGGAGAAUAAGCCCCGGCUAACUCCGUGCCAGCCGCCGCCGUAA